UACGUAGGCAGCGAGCGUUGUUCGGAGUUACUGGGCGUAAAGAGUGCGUAGGCGGUUUUCUAAGUUUGGUGUGAAAUCUCCCGGCUUAACUGGGAGGGUGCGCCGAAAACUGGAAGGCUUGAGUAUGGGAGAGGUAAGUGGAAUUCCGAGUGUAGAGGUGAAAUUCGUAGAUAUUCGGAAGAACACCAGUGGCGAAGGCGACUUACUGGACACAUAUUGACGCUGAGGUGCGAAAGCGUGGGGAGCAAACAGG
rnacentral:rRNA from 1 species